UGUGACUACAAGCAUGUCCUGGAGGACAUGGCCCUUACCCAGGAUCUUGAAGGCCUGGAAGGGUGGGGGCUCGGGGGCUGGUGAUAGGGUGGGUAUUCCUGGUGGGGGUUACAGUCUGAGCCAAAGCCCAGAGGGAUGGUUUAAAAUAGAGAACACUCUCCGAAAACUCCAUAAUGAAACCAUUGUGCUGGCCAUUUCCUCUGAGAGCCCUGGCUGUUACUGUGACCUCAGAGCUAGAGGUAGUUCCAGGUGUGAGGCCGCAUAGACAGUUCAAACCUACCUCACCUCUCUCUCCUCUCAUGCCAAUUCUGAGGAUGAGUUGUCCUUACCCAUUUUGCAGGUUUUUGGUGUACUGAGCUCAGAAAAAUGGCGUGUUCUUGGUCAUUUAUAUAUUUGCAAAGAGGUAGAGUUGAGGCCUCAACCCAAGCCCAUGGGUCCAAAGUUUGUACUUUGAAGCUUUCCAUCGUCUUAGGUUUGGAAACGCCCAAUGUCCAGAUCUUUCUGUUGAACUUCCAGCAAUGGAUGUAGUGAUACGCUGGCAAAUAUUUAACAAGCAACUCUCUGGAAGAAAAAGCUAAGGUAUGGUUUGUCAAAUUUCUCCAUUUCCAAGUAGAACAUACUUCCUUGGAGGCCGAUGCCAGGUGACCAGUCUGACAUCACUGAAUAUGGCCCUGAGAAGGAGGACAGCGGUCCUAAGUGUUUGCAAGCCUCUGAGAACCAGCUCCAGCACCUUACAGGAAGAGUAGCCACCCUUCCCCCAGCCCAGUGUGGCCAGUGAAGGCCAUUAGACAAGUCUUUGGCGGGGAAGAGGGCGGAGAAACCUGCUCCUCCAGCCAGGGCCUGCCCAAGGGAGUCCUGGGAAACUGCCGUUAAACUUUAAGCAAGUCUUGCAAACAGGAGUGGCUACUUUGCCUGCUGUUCAUGAGGAUCCUGAGCAGCCCCGUUCUCUCUUCUGGCUCAGUGGGCUACCCUGGCCACACUUGCACUCAGCAGUGCGGCCUUCAGAUCCCAGUCCUGUCCACUCCUACCUACUUCACAACGGGAGGAGGCUGGAACAGGAAACUGAUGACUGAACAAACCCUGAGGCACCUGGCCUAGAUGUGAACUUAGAUCAGCCUGACUCAAAGCUUUGCUCCUUCCUGGCCUGCUGGGACAUACAUUGUACCCUGAGGCUGGAGCCUCUUAUGUUCUGGGAGGAUGGGAACCUGCCCUUCAGGAGGGGUCUCCACCAGGAGAAAGCUCAGGCCUGGUGCCACAUUAACCUGGUUGGGUCUCAGUUGGCCACCUGUGAGAUGGGAGCACUUUCAAGGAAGGAGGAUGGAGGCAGAUGGUCGGAUUCAUCUUUCUAGAGGGGAACGGAGGAGUCAGAGGUGGACCCCCUCCCUGGCCCAAGGGGCAGCCCUAGAACCUGGACAGGGACUGGCGUUUGUGAGGGGUGGUCUUUGAGACCAACCUGAAACCACAUCCCGCCCCCUUAUCCCAUUUUCCUUCUCUACUUCCUGUUUGGCUGAUCCUGCUGUCCUCAGUGGCUGACUACCUGCAUACUUCCCAGCAGAUGUACGUGGUCUCUGCAUGCGCUGAAAAUGAAUUUAGGGCUGGCCUGAUGCUUGCAGUCCCUGCCCUCCAUAGGCAGAAGCUGGAGCCUCCCACAAGUUCAAGGCCAGCCUGUGUCACAUAGUGAGCCACUGUUUCGCCUCUUGAUACAUUUUAAUAAAGCUGCCUCUCUCCUCCUCACUCUGCCCCUCUGGUCCCAGUCUCUGGUUAAAGACAAUCAGGUCAAAGCUGGUGUGGCCAGUUGCCUCAGUUUCCGUGUCUGGAAGAUAGUGCUAGCCAUCGGUGCGUAGCUCAGGUAGCUAGGUUGGUCCGGGGCGAGAGGGCGCCCCCGCGGGUGGAGCUGCGGGGAGGGGGCUGGGUGCGGGAGGCGCGGGGCCCGGCUCGCACAGCAGGUCCCCCGGGUCGCCGGCGGGGCCCGGGUCCGCGCUUCCUUCUUUCUCCGGCUCGCAUCGGCCGCGGCCCCUCCUCCCGCGCGCUCCCUCCCCCUCGCCGCUGCCGCCGCCGCCGCCGCCUCCUCCCUUUCUCUAGGUCUGUCUCUCCCGGCCCGGAAUCCACCCGGCCGCCCCGCCGGAGCGGCCAGGCCGCCGCCCGCCAGCGCUGCGCGCCCCGCUGGGGUCCGCCCGGGCGCGUCCGGAGCCCGCGGCCGCGCCGCAGCCCCCAGCCUCGCCCCUCCUCGGGCCCAGCGACCUGCCGGCUCCGAAGUUGGCAAAAGUUUUGGUGUUUCAGUACCACUACUAGGUCCACUUGCCCACCCGGGCAGGUACUGGAGGUGAGUUUGUGUCCCCACUAGAACCACCACUUGUCAUGCUGUGUGUCUUGGAGACAACUGCCUUAGCUCUCUGAGCCAAGGCCCUUCUCAGUGAUGGGUAGACGGCCAGGACUGCUAGGCUGGUUGAAGAGUGGAGUGGACAGAGGGGACUUUUCCCUGGGUAACCCCUAAACCUCUAAGGUAUUCAGAGGGAGAAAAGUGGACAGAGACGUGUGAGGCUUAUGAGGCCCUAAACAAGGUCUUCCCUGACUCACAAACUGUGUGAGCAAUGGUGAUGGGUUCACCUGGGUGGAAGUCAGAUUCAGUUUCCAAGGUGGGCAUGGGGGCGGGGCGCGUGCGGGGGUGGGGCGGGGCGGGCGGGGAUGGGGCUCUUUCCAGACUUUUGAGUCCAAGCAUCAAAGUCUCUUGUUUUCCUGGGUGAUCUGAGCUGGGGGCUGCUCCUUGGAUCCUUCACAGCAGUGACAGGGUCCUCAGGUGAUUACUCCCUGUGCUUCUGGCAGCUAAGGAGUUGGCAUGCAUGGGGUGGGGUGUCAAUAAAUGAGUUCCACCCUGGAGCCUGCACAAGAUGACUGGGGUGCUUGUGGCACAGCUGCCUGCAGGAGAGGGUAACUGUGUCUCGAAGGGUGCCCUAGAGCCUCAAUAUCCGAGCACCCUCCUGUGGCCCACAGCUGUGUGAAUAUAGUCAGCUCUGGGUUCCUUUUGCCUCAGUCUUGUCAGAAAGGAAUGAUCAAUCAGAUUGUGAAGGCACUCAGUGGUAGAGCACAGGCUUCGCAUGCCCAAGGCCCUGGUGCUAGCCUUGGCACUACAGGACGGACAGAUAAAUCAGGUGGAGCCAUGAUGAUCAGAGCUGUUGAGGUUCACUGAACUCCUCCUGGGGCUAGCUCAGUCUGCAGCUGGAACUGGAACUUAGACUUCAGAGGAGCUGGCUGGCUGCCCUUUAACCUGCAGUGACAGUGAAGGCUGUAUAGUUUGGGGUCAGGAACAAGGCAUUGUUGGAAAAAGACUCCUCCCAUAUCACCCCCACCUGGCAGAGCCAUAAGGCCCUGCUGGAGAUGGGGUGUGUCCCGGUGAGGUGGCCUUUCCACAAGGGGAAGUGACUUAUAGUGUGUCACCUCUCAGCUGACUGCUUGUAUCCUGGGGUACACACUGAGAAUGAGUGUUAGGGGCACGCCCCAUCUCAUGUUCAUCCUUGUUCUUCCAGCCUUAGGGCAACCCUAUCUCUCCCACCCAAUCCUCUUCUGUUUCCUGUCGUGUCCCUUUCCCCAGCCCCCCACCAGCCUCCAGCUUAUAGGCUGCCUCCUGCUUGGGCUUUUACCCCAUUCUCAUCUGACAGUAGGGGUGGGAAUGGAGCAUGUCUGGGUCCUCUAAGUCCCAGGAUCUAAGGAGGACUGGCUAAAUGGUUUUUGUCCCUGUUAUCCACCUGGUCCUCGGCUGUCUUUGAUCGUACAUUGAGCACUUACUAUGCACUAGGGCCUGUGAACUUUGUUGAGCAGCUUUGUGGUAGGAGGACGACAGCUUCCUGAAGGAGGAGCUUGAGCUGGAGCAAGCAGUGGCCAGCUAGCCAAGAGUGCAGCUGGACCAGUGUUCUUCCCCUCUGCUCAGAAGGUCAUCUGCCUGGGGACUUGCUGGGAAAUUGUGAACAGGUCCUUGGCUUCUAGAAACUGGAGUAAGGCGGAUAAGCCAAGUGGCCAGAUAAAUGAAUAUAUAAUCAUGGCUGUGAUAAGGGCAAGGCCUAGGGAACAGAGGAAUCUUGCAGGAAGAGUGUAGGAGGGUUACCUGGGCAUGAAGCUAGGGGAAGGUACGCCAGGCAGAGGGAGAGGUCUGUGCAAAGGCCUGAGGUGGGGGAGAGCAUGGCUGUUGUGGAGGAACAAGGGGAGAGCCAUGAGAGAGGAUGGUCAAACAGGGCCUGCUAUCAGUUGGGCUGGUCUCAGUGAGGGCUCCCAGAAGCCCUGAGAAGGAUCCUGUCCUCCAUUUUUACACAGGGAGCCGUGUGAACCAGCGUUAGCUGGAGGCCGCCGCACGGAGCUAAUGGUCAGCUGUGCGGACCUUAGAUCAGGUCUCAAGAGGAGGUAGUGUAUGACACUAGGCUUUGAAGGUACAGUAGAAGUCCGACCCAUGAAACCAGAGGCAGUGAGAACCAAGGCCUAGGAGGCUCAGUGCAGUGGGGAGAAACUUGGGAGUGAGCUGGAGGACAGGGAUGGUCAGACAGGAAACCGGAGAUCAUGCUUGUGCAUCUGACAGGCCUGAGUUCAAGUUCUGACUGCUGACUGUCCCAUUUACUGUGUGUCUUUGGGUCCUUCACUGAGUCUUUUUGUUUCUUCUUUAAAACCGAGGACCAGCCCAUCUCUGCCAAAAAAAAUGGCUGUAUGUGGCAUUGGGAAGCCCACUGGCAUCUCUGGGCUCUGCCUUGCCAUCCGUGUGGCCAUGGACUUGAGUGGGUGAUGGCAUUGGUCUGAAGGUCCCACUUUGGGCAGAGCUUGUCUAGAAGAGGAUGUUGAUAGGAAAGGACAUCAGUGUGCUAGGUGACCAUGAGCCUUGCACUCUCUGUGGCAGAAAGUCGAGCUGGGUCUAGCUGUCUGAAUGUAAACUGUUAAGACCUAGAGAGAAAAGGCCACUGGCCUAGGGUUUCCCAGGUGACAGCCAGGAACGGGCUGGAGGGCUCUGAACUCCACAUUCAGAAUUGGUGCUACGGGAGUCUCAGAGGCCCGCAGAAGCCCUUGGUGGAAGCCCUACUGUUUGAGGAGAACUGAGGUUUGAGGUUCUCCUGCCCCUCUAUGGUCUUCCAGACUUCAUAGCCCUUUGUGUCUCCUAUGUACCUUUCACCUCCCUGGGGAGAAUCUCUCUGGCUUUCUGGGGAGAGGUCAUCACUUUUGAGGGGCCUCAGUUUCCUCAUCCAUGAAGUGUGGCUGACUCAUGGCUCCCUGGAUAUCCCAAGAGGAUGGACAUGGGUAGCUAACACAUUCAGGGCUUAAUAAAUGUGAGCAGAUUGCUCCUGGUCAUGUGACACAAGGCGGAAGAUAUAAAAUGGACUUGCAGCUGACAGGGCCAAGGAGAGGCUAGGAUCCCACAUGCCCUCACUGGAGCUGGCCCUGCUUCACUGCUCUUAGAGAAGGAGACCUGUUGCUCAAGGCUCAUUCCACUGGCAAGCCCAGAGUCAAAUCACAACCUCUUUGCUAAAGUAAUCCCAGUAGCUUAAUCUACUGAUGUUUAGUGUACAUUAUAUAUAUAUUUCCUUUCUCUGGCUCAGACGAGAAGUCCUGACUCCAAUUCCACAAGCUGUGUGAAGCAUUCUGAUGUCCACUGUUGGUUUUCAUGGGAAACAGUGCUAUGAUAGAUUAGUAAUGUCUGCUCUGGGCAGAAGCUUAGCAAGCAUUGUCUGUGUGCUAUGUCAUUCCUGAUCUAUCUAGACCUUCUCCUUCACUGUGGGGGGAGUGAAGGAGAAAGACUCAGGACAAGUUAGCCAAGCUAGGAAGAAAAUCCUAAUGUCUUUUUUUGAUGUAUGACUGUCUUCACCAGCCAGCCUGCCCAUGACCACAACACUGCCAGAUAGCCUGACUAGAGAGAAGACUAGGCAAUUAGGGAGAAUCCCAGAGCAAGAAGCCAGAACCCCCACCCCUCUACUUGUUGCUACAGGACUUGGGGCGAGUAACUUCCCCUGGGACUACGCAGAGGAGCUGUAGAAAGGAGAAGCACGAGCGAGAAGAAAUUGAAAGAUUGUGGUUUGUCUCUUCCUGUUCUGGUCCUCAGCGUCUCCAUCAUGGAGUUUUCCCCUUCCCUGAGAACCUGAGACAUGGUCCUAGCUGGAGUUGGGUAGGGUGGGGAGUGUUCAGGAUGGGGAGGGUGUCUGCCACCUAUUGGCAAUGGUAGACAUGGGUCCUUAGGCGUCCUUGGGCCUGCUGGACUGUGCAGCCAGCACGAUCGAAUCUGACAUUGGGGGUUGGAAACAGGCAGGGUUGGAGUGGCCCCAGGAGGCAUGGUGGACUUCCUGGAGCCUGAUAGCUUCACUCAGGCCACCCUGUCCAACUUGUGGCCUGUACUUGGGUUUAUCUGAUGUCGGUAUCUACGAAUUAUGUUCUCUAGGGCUGCACCACAGGUAGCAGGGUGGCCCACUGUAUGUGUUCCUUAUCCUGGAGUGGGUGGAACCUUUAUUUCUAUUUCGUGGAAGAUGAGCAGGGGCUCUGAGAAGCGAAGGACUAUGGCUGUAGUCACCAGCAAGUGAGGUGUGAGCAUGGACUCCUGGAGUCUGGGUGCUGUGGAUAUCUGAUUCUGCUGAGUGUCCCCAGUGUGUCUGACAUCUUUCUUAGGCAGAGUAUGGGCUCCCUGACUUCCUGGGUACAUACUGUGACUGGUGGGUAUUGGGUGAUCCAGGUGCAUGAUCUCCUGGUAGUGGUGAGGCCUAGCGAUCAGUUGGUUUGGGGUUUGAAUCCUGGCAUAGUGGCCUGUUUGUUGCAUCUGAUUGUGGGGAAAAUGACUGCUCCAUGCCUCAGUUUCCCCAAUCUGUGUAGCUCUAGUAUAGCUAUGAGAAGGUGGCCUGACUGUGAGGCAUGCUAGUGUAUGUCCAGUGUGUGGGCACAGGGCCCACUUGGUGAUUUUGAGGCUGUGAGGGAAGGUGAUUCUGUGAUGAGGUGGAAAGACAAAUUGAUCUGGGAACCCUCAGGGCUGGCACUGGCCACCUUGGUCUCUGGUUGUCCUGCCCUGUGCAUCUAGGAGGGGUUGCAUUGAUUGGAACCCGCCAGCUCCAUCAAGCUACUCUGAGGCCAGCUCUCCUCUCUCCCUGCCCCUCCUGGAACCUGAUCACAUAGCCAUCCAUGACCUCCAGUGCCUAAGACUCCCCUAACUUGAGGGGCCCUCCCUAGGAGUUAUCCACCAUCUGGGUGCUCCAAAUGCUGGGCCACAUGGCCUGGGUACAAACUGCACUUUCUUUAGGUAGUGGCAGGUAGAGGCUCAGAGAAGGGUCCGAGCUCUGCAUAGCUCCUGGAGAUGUUGCCUCUCAGCACAGAGCUCCUUCCUCAGCCCCAGCCUCCCUUUUCCCAUGUGUCUCUGCUGUGGGUUACCCCGCAGGUGCUUUGAACCACUGACUGGUUUCAUGAUUGCUUAGAUAGUUGGGUGCCCAUACCUUUGCCUGUACAGGUCCUCCAAUGUCCCCUAUUUUAUUGGAUAGGUGUGUGUGUGUGUGUGUGUGUGUGUGUGUGUGUGUGUGGUCUUGCUAUAUAGUCUAGGCUGACUUGGAACUCAUCUCGUAGCCCAGACUGGCAGCAGUAAUCCUCUUGCCUCAGUUUUCUUUCUUUCUUUCUUUCUUUCUUUCUUUCUUUCUUUCUUUCUUUCUUUCUUUCUUCCUUCCUUCCUUCCUUCCUUCCUUCCUUCCUUCCUUCCUUCCUUUCUUUCUUUUUUUGUUUUGUUUUCGGAGACAAGGUUUCUCUGUAGCUUUGGAGGCUGCUUUGCAACUCAGUAGAUCAGACUGGUCUCGAGCUCACUGCCUCUGCCUCCCAAGUGCUGGGAUUAAAGGCGAGUGCCACCACCGCCUGGCUUGCCUCAGUUUUCUGAGAGUUGGGAUUAUAGGGUCCACCAUUACACUGGGCUAGGUACCCCACAGUUGCUCAAGGCCUCCAGGAGCUAAAGUAUCUCUGGCUGUCCCCUUCCCCGAAGUCUUUUCCCAGAGCCUCCUCUGCCUCUUUCUCUGCUGUCUUUCAAGGCUCCCGCUCUGUCUGUAGGUGGCAAGCCCUGACUCUAGGCUGGUUUUCUCUGCCUCUAAGGAAAUGUGUGGUAACUAUCACUCCCAACAAUAUAGCUCUUGAUAGUUUACAGAGCACUGUGUGUAGUUACCCGUGCACCCCGGCAGGGCUGUGAGGGAGAUAGAACCCACGGAGCACCUUCAUUUGACAGGUGAGGAAACUUGCCUCAGGUUGCCUCUCCCUGCUUGGGCAACUAGAAUACUCCUAUCCUUCUGAGUCUUGAGUCUGCCUUCUCUGUGAGUUCCCAAAUGGAUCGGAGAGGUAAAGUGGCUUCCCUGGAAUCACACAGCACUGAAGGGGUGACACUGGGAGGUUCCUUCUAUGUAUUCAGUGGCCAAGCUGUGCCCUGUGGACUUUGUUCCAAGCUUUGCCUAGUCCCCAAUGGAGGCUGAAGUCGGUCCUGUUCCACCUGCCUCUGCUGGGAGCCCAGGAAAAUGGCGUCUUCCUUGUCCACGUCAGGAGGCAGCAGCUUUUCCUCUUGGGUUGGAACAUGACAAGCUCCUUCUCCCUAAAUAUCUUCCAGCUUUAGGAAGUUUUCCCUCAGUGGUCGAGGUUGAGGGGCAGGAAGGGGAGAUUUUCCCAGGCAGAGGAUGGUAUGACCAGAGCCCUGCAGGUGGGCAGCCUGGGGUCUGGGGAAGGUGGUGUGGGUUGAGUGGGCCUCCACUGCAGAAUUUGCCUCCUGCUCCCCACCCCCACCCCUCCAGGUGUUCUAAAAGCCUGGAACCAGAUGAGCCACCGUUCUAUUUGGGGACGAUUCUGCUGUUCCUGUUUCAAUCCUGUGCCCUAGUUUUAGAAGCAAUGUGGGUUUGGUUACCAGUUGGCCACUCGCAGGCAGCUCCCCCUCCACCCACUCGGCCCACACCUUGGAUCCGUGGGCAUCAUGGCCAGAACAGGCCUUGGCUACCUUUGAGGUUGCCUGCCUUUGGGGCUGUCUGCAUAGUCCUUGAUUAGCAACUGAUGGUGCCUGAGCCAGUGAUAGGACACACACCUGGUGGGGUGAGGGAGGGGCACAGGAGGCUGCCCCCAGGCUCUGAGAGGAGAUGUACUGUGGAGGACAGGGUGACAUGAUCCAUCUUGGGGGCUGAUUUGGGACUCUCUGGGAGUAAUGCUCUGGGAAGCUAAGUACAGACCCUGAUGGUUGCUCUACUGUAAGCUAGGUACCACAGGAAUGAUGUCAGCCUAACAAUGCCAGGUGGGCUUCCCAGAAGUGAUACCUAGGACUUAAAGGGUGAGCAAGAGGUCAUGAGAGAAAGAUGAGUGAGGGCAUGCUGGACAGAGGGAACCCAGGAACUAGAGGGUGUAUGUGUAAUGUGGGGUGUGUAGCCGUGAGAGUGGGUGGACGCGAGCAUAGCCUGGGGCUGUGGUCAUGUAUAGGCACUAAGAAGGGGCCUUAGUCCAUCCAGCACACUUAGACUUUGUUGUCAUAGAGUGAUGGGAGCAGGGAAGGUGUAGGUGGUGGAGGGCAGAGGAGGAUGAAGUGGGGCUGGGGUUCAAAACAGGGAUCAAAGUCCCUCACUGGGUGGAGGACAGAAGCUGGCCUAAGGAGGAGCCUGAUCAGGGCCUGGUGGUGCAGUGUGCCAGCUCCCUCUGAGCACUGGGAGCUGGGAUUUGGACCUGGUGCCCUCUGUGGAUACCCCAGGCAUAAUGCUGAAGUGUUUACACACAGCCUUAUGCGGUGGGAGGUCCCUGGGGAGAUGGAUGUACCCAGUUCUGUGGAUCAUGCCUGGCUCAGGCUGUGUGGCCUUGCUGCAGUGGCCUAGGGAACUCUGCUGAGUGGUUCUGUCUGGGAAUAGGAAGAGCCUGGUGGGGGUGGGAGUGGGCAGGGAGAUUUGCCAUGGUCGCCUCUCACAGCAUCUCUUGGUCGCACUGUCCCUCAGGAAAUGGGGGGAUCCAAUGGUGGGUUCCACAGGCACCUGGGGUGGGCUUUGGUCCAGGUCCCAGCCUCCUUCCUUUUGGGUGAGCCUCCCAGGGCACAGUCCUCCCUCUCUUGAGCUCUCCAUGGUCUGAGAACUGUCUACUGUGGGAUACAACAGGCCUGCCUUUGAAGCCUCACUUGGACUCCAGCUGGGAGAGCUUGGCUAAGCGAUUUUGCCUUCCUGAGCCUCAGUUUCUCCCCCCACAGAAAUGGAGGCUAGCCUUUGGAGGGCUGUGUCUAGUGUUGUACAGUCAGUCCUGGGAGAACCUGGCUCAGAGCCGAGGCCUUGCUGAGCUGCCAAGGGGCAGCUUCCGGGCACCCAAGGCUCUCAGUUCCAAGGACAAAGCCCCUUUGUGGGGAGACAGAUGGAGCCUGGGAGCCCCCUCCCUGGGGAGCAGGGCUGUCUGCCCCUCCUCUGCUCUCCAUCCCCUGGGAGAAGGAGCUUUCUGAGACCAAGGGUGGGAAUCCAAUGGGUUUCACAGCCUGGCCAUUCUGGCUGGGGAGCUCAGUGUCUCUUCCCUUUCUUGAGUACUUGUCAGGGGCCCGGGCAUCCCUGGCAAAUCCAAGCCUGCUGUGGGUGCCCUGUGCAUCUGCCCUUCCAUCCGCUAGUCAUCCUCUCCCUCACGCAUUCAUCUCCCCAUUGGUCCAUCUUCCUUCCAUCCCUCCACCCCAGGAGACUCCCCUUGCUGGGCCUAUGCUUUUUGACGACACUGACUGCUCUGUCCUGAAUGUGUCCAACUGUUUCAGCAGUUUCUUGUUAGUUCGUUUUUUUGUUUUUGUUUUGUUUUUUUUUUUUGUUGUUGUUGUUUUGUUUUGUUUUUUUCGUUUUUGAGAAAGGUUUCUCUGUGUAGUUCUGGCUGUCCUGGAACUUGCUCAGUAGACCAGGCUGGCCUCAAACUCACAGAGAUCCGCCUGCCUCUGCCUCCUGAGUGCUGGGAUUAAAGGCGUGAGCCACACCGCCCAACACUGUAUGCUAGUUUUAAUGUAACACUUACCACCAAAUAGCCAGUUGUUAGCAAGUACAAGUGGACCUGAACUCAUCCAGAGAUUGCUGCCAUCAGAGUGAAGAUUCAGUCCAGGAAAGAGAAGUUGAAGGCCUCAGACAGGGCUGAGGGACCCUUAAGUCCCCUGAAAAAUUCUCUUUUGAACUCUGACUGGAAGAGAGUGGGGUUGGCUGGGGUGCUGCCAUUGAAAUGCCUAUUGGAGCGGGUGGUGUGAGUCCUGAAGCCUCAGAGACAGUGAGGGUGUGAGGCGCGCACGUAUGGGGUGAGGGGGGUAAACUCUGGGCAAAGAGAAUGGCCUUAGGCAGGAACAUGCUGUUUCCAGGGAAGGGAGAGCUAUUGACCUGUACAGUAGAGGGAAAUGAGGGGAAGGGUAGAGCCGGUAUGGUGACCAGCAGGGUUUUGGUGUCCCUGUACCUUUAGGGUAGGACCUGUGGGGAGGUCAAGGGCUGAAGGAUUUGGAUCGGCAUCUCUGAGAAGCUUUCUGGCCCAGUUUGGCAAUGCAUGAGAGGACAAACACAAGUGUUUGGGGCUGAGGCUGACAAGGUUUGGAACCAGACUAUUGAAGACAGGAAACUGAGGCUGAGCAUGGCUUCUUCAUGGCCAGGAUCACACAGUGAGCAGGGCUGGGUUCGGGCUGUCAGGGCCUAGGGGACCUAUGGCUUUAGAGAAUACGGACCCUGAUCCCCAAAUCCCAGCCAGCAAAUUUUUUUCUUUUUAAGGUUUUUGAAGACAGAGUUUCUCUGUGUAACAGUUAUGGCUGUCCUGGAACUCACUCUGUAGACCAGGCUGUCCUCCAACUCACAGAGAUCUGUCUGCCUCUGCCUCCCAAGUGCUGGGAUUAAAGGUGUGUGCCACCACUGUCUGGCCCCAGCCAGCAAUAUUAAAGUAUUUCUUAUCUUGGUAAGCAGAGACUACUCUGUAUGCCUCUAGGCUGGGGAAAGCUUGACUCCAACUUGCUGUGUCAACUGAGCAUCAGUUUCCUCUGCUGCUAAUAGUCUUUCCCACACAGUGCUUCGGGGAAGCCUCAGGCAUUGCAGGUGUCUGGGGUGUGAGGGCCUGCACAGCCACAGCUGGACUUCGGCCAAGGCUGGAGUUCCUUUUCAAUAUCUCAGCACUUUGGGGUUGAAGGUUCCUGGAAUCAGAGCUCGAAGUCUCUUUCCACAUGGGGAAACAGUCCAGAAGGGCACCAGUUUUCAGAAGGCCUCCUAGCCUGGCAGAACACGUCAGUGUUCUGAGCUGGGUCACUUAACUGCCUAGCUCCAGGGCCCAGCUCAUCCUGCCCUUCUCAGGCUCCCCUCACUUCCUGGCCUUGUCUUCCUUCAUCCUGGAAGCUGGUUUCCAGCUUCUUGACAUUGCAACAUAAUGUUGUCAUCUAUAUGGUUCAUGUCCCAGGGAUUCUUGAGUUAGAACAAUAAAACCGGGUGUGUGGGGGGGAAUCUUGUUUUAAGCAGGUUGCAACUUUGUGUUAGGUUACAGUCAUAACUGACCUGGGGUACUGUGGCCUGGAUGUCAGGCUUAGAACACAGCCUAGUGGGAAGAGAUCUUGUUCUUCCUGGAACAGGUCAGGGGCUGAAGUCCAGAAGAGAGUAACAGGGACCAGUCUGUCUACACCGGGCUUGAGGUGUGAGCCUCAUUUUCUACUUGGUUAGCUUUUAUCUUCCUAGGCUGCAGGUCCUGGGUCAGCAUCCCCGUGCACACCCCCCCCACCUCCCCGCCUUUUCCAGGGCCAGCUGGAGCCUGCGGGCACUCUGCCCAGUGACACUGGCAAAGCCGGUUUGAGGCUUAGACAGCCCCCAGCAUGCUUGCACUGAGAAUGCAGGAUCAGGCAUGUUCUGACUGCUAUGGCCCUGGGAUCUGCCUGCUCCCCCACCCCCAUGCACCCUCUCUCACUCCUGCUCACUCCUUACUCACUUGGUUGACACCAUCCCCCACCUCCCACCCAGUUCCUAGCUCAGGCCUGUUGCUGGGUGGGGCCCGGGACUGGAACUGCUUUAUAUUUUACAUUGGCUGUAUAAGUUGGGUGGUCAGAGUCUCUGCUGGAAGCUCGUGCAGUGCAGGGGGCAGGGAGAGAAGGGGAUGGGGCCUAGUCCCUGGGAUGAAUAGACCUGUGGUUUAGGCUCUCUCUCCUUCCUGGGAGGCUCUAGGUGGUGCCCAUCCUUCCCCCUAACUACCCACUCACCACUUGUCCACCUACUGUCUAUCCACUCAUCUACCCCCACCCUGCCAUCUUCUAUCCGUCUGUCCAUCUGUCUAUCUAUCCAUCUGUCCACCUACUUACCUAUUCACCCAGCUGCCUGUUCCUCAGUGGGGCCCAUCCAUGUACAUAUCUACCCAUUCACUUACCUGUCUAUCCUUUCACUCAUCCACCUACCCAGUCAUCUUCACCCUUCCAUCUACCAGUCUAUCCUCCUAUGGCGAUGAACAUGCAUGGAUGGAUGACGGAUGCAUGGAUGAUGUAGCCAGCCAUGUACCCUGGGCACUUUUAUGCACCAGGCAGUAUUCUGGAGGCUGGAGACACAUCAGAGAACUAGCUGGACACGGUCCCUGUCUUUGCAGUUGGUUGACCUACAGGGCAGCCAGAAAAGCAGCAAACAAGGGACGUGGUCUGCUAAUGGGGGUCAAGUGCUGUGGACCCUACAUAAAACGGAGGGGAAGUGGGUGGGCAUCCAGGAAGGUGCUCACACUGAAAGACUGGCUGGCAUUGCGAGUGGGGUGGGCUUACAGUUCUCAGGAGGAGAUCCUAGGGAGGGAAUACCAGUGCAGAGGCCCUGAGACGGCCUUGGAGUGUUGGGGCAACAUCAAGAGUCUGAGGAAGGAGAGAAUAGAGGAGGAAGAAGACAGAAGGACCUGAGGGGCGGGGGCCCGUGUCCAGGGUGGACUGUGGGCUGGAAGUGGGCAGGGCUGCAGUACAUGCUGGCGAGGAGCAGAUGGUUGUCUGUUUGGAGUACUUGGUACUGAGUACUGCAGUACUCAGGCAUAGUUCACUGUUUAACGUAGCCAUUUUCUUUCUGUAUGGAGAGCCAUAGCAGAGCCCUCCACCCCUCCCCCUUCCUUUGCCGUCCCUCAUGUCAUGCUAAAGUAGAUCUCCGGUGCCCCGUGUUAAAUGUGCCAGUAUUUCUGCACAGCCACGGGUCUGUAACCUGCCUAAAGCCCACCGUUCCUUCCUACUAGCGGCCCCCGCUUUCUCCUGGUACAGUUUGCUGCUGAGGUUGAUGUGAGUCAUAUGGGCAGCCUCUCUGAUAGCCCGGGGCCUAUCACCCAGUGGGUGCUCCGCACACAGUAGCCACAGCUUUGAUGGGCAGCAGAUAUGCAGGGCAUGCUUGCUGGGCUCUGGGUCCUAUUCUCAGGGCUUCACAGACAGGAACUUACUUCAUUCUCGUGGCUGUUCUUUAAAGUAGGCUGUGUGUGUAUUCUGGUUAUAUAGGAGAGGAAACAGGCACAGAGAGGUAGAGAAACUGUGCCAAGGUCUCACAGUAAGGAAGGGCUGGAGCUGGGUUUUGAUUCAAGGUGGUUCUGCUCUUGAUCCUCAUGUUGAGGGAGGGCUCUGUUAGCCCAGAUAAAGAGGGGUACCGCUUUUCACCUGGGCAAGGACAGGUGAACUGACUGUGAUCAGCCCCUGAGGAGGAAGCAUCGUGUGUGAAGGCCCAGCAGCUGGAGACUCCAUGGGAGGGGGUGGAGGGAGGUGGAGCAAGCAGCAAGCCCCCCACAGGCAGUGAGGUGUCUGGACCAUCUUGCUGACCUCUGCCUCCGCUCAUGCUCCCUUGUCUCCAGUGCAUGGAAAGGGAAAGGAGAUGGCACCUGUGGACUAAGGGGUGGGGUAGAGCUUAGGACUACUUGUGCAAUGGGGCCUGGCUACUUGGUGUUCCUGCCCACCCAUGUCCCCAAGGGAGAUGCCACCUGGGUGUGGGUGGGGAGGAGGGGGCACUGUGUUCCCGGAGUUGAGAAGCAACCAGAGCUGUUGGCAGGGAACAGCGGGCACCGUGGGCAGGGGCCGGCUGGCAGCCCCCCUCAGGGCCCAUCCUCCUGCUGCCAGUAUGGAGGGGCCAUCCAGAUGACCUUGGAGAAGCUGGGGAAAGAUUGUAACUUGUUACCUCAGUGUCCCACCAAGGUCACUCCCCCAUCCUGAGCUUGUGCUUAGUGUCCAGACGCUGCCCAGACACUGGCUGAGGGUGGCCUGCCUAGUGUCACACAGUGAUCUCCCUGAACUUAUUAAUAAGCCAUUUUGGGGUGUCCCUUAGGCCUUGUGCCGGCGGCUCCUCCACUAAGUUGGGACAACUCCAGCCACACCUUCCUGUCCUCCCUGCCUCUUUCUGGGACAGUGUGGAAAGGAAGGGUUUGCUGGACCCUGUCUUUAGAUGUUAAACUAUGAGGCCACAGGCUGCUAGAACUCCAUUUUGAAUGGUCUGAACUCUUACAGAAGGGUCUGUCCCUACCCCACUGCUCCUGUCUUGCCCAGGAGUCUGCAUUGGAGCCGUCCAUGUGCUGGUUCCAGGAAAGACCAGCCCAGCUGCAGGCUCUUCUCGUAGAGCCUUUUGUAGCCCCUGGGGGCAGCCUGAUGUAGGAAAAACCUGGGGGAAUGUCACAGGAGUCACCAGCUGUCAUAGGAUGGGACCUUAGACUCACUUGUUUCUCCUCAUCAGUAAAAUGGGCUUAACAACACAUAGGGCCAGGCGGUCGUAGCACACACCUUUGAUCCUAGCACUUAGGAGGCAGAGGCAGAUGGAUCUUGAUGAGUUCAAGGCUAGCUUGGUCUGCAGAGUGAGGUCAAGCAAGGCUACACAGAGAAACCGUGUCUCAAAAAAGAAAAAAGAAUGACACAAAGGACUGAUAUUGUGGCACAUACCUUUAAUUCCAGUACUUGGGAGGGAGACAGAGGUAGGUGGAUCUCUGAGUUCAAGGCCAGCCAGGUCUACAUACUGAAUUCUAGGAUAGCCAAUGCUGUAUAGUGUGACUCUUAUCUCUAGAAAAAUCAUGAAAGUGCUGGGGAUGCCACUGGGUGUUAGGUAGAGUGCUUACCCGAGGCCCUGGGUUCAGUCCCUACCACUGUGUAAACUGAAUUUGGGAGGUGAAGGCAGGAGGUCAGAACUUCAAGGUCAUCCUCAGCUAUGAUGUGCGUUUGAGGCCAGCCUGGGCUACAUGAAGCUCUGUGAGAGUUUCAGUCAUCGCUGCUGUUGUGCGUUAUUUCCUUAGCCCUUCAUCCUGUCCACAUUGUUGAGCCACUAGUGGAAGGCUACCCAGGUAAGCAAGCAGCUCCCAUGGUAACGCUAAAGACAGAUUUAUGGAGCAGGUGCCUGCCCGCAGGGAGGACAUCCCUCUUGUGAGAUGGGUGAUGCCCUCACAGGUCCUUUGCCCCACCACAGGUGGCCAUUGCUGGGACCUGUCUGAAUGUCAGCUGGGGGCCCAUCCUUUGGCCCCUCGGGCUCCCGUGCUACCACCCUGCACCUCUGUCUGGGAGGCCGGAGGGGAGGCUGUGGUAGCUUGACUCCUGGGGCCUGUAGUGUGUACCCCUCUUUCUGUCUGGUCUCUGUUCCCCAUUGGAAAAAUGAGCUGACCUGUGAGCUUAAGGCUCCCUAUGAGGUCAACUGGGACAAGUGACCUUGGGAAGAGGGCUAGAAGAUAUCUGAGACCUCAGAUGGUGGCUCAGGCACCUGACUUAGCACCUGAGUAUUUCCUGGCAACUCUGCAAAAAGACAUAGCUAUCUGUCUGUCCCUGUGGUCAGGGUCUGGGAGAACUGGGGAGCUGGCAAUGAGGGUCAGAGGAAAGUCCCUUGCCAAAGCAGCUGUGGGCUAGGGUGCUGCCCCCAAGAGUGACACCAAAGGAGGUUUCUAAGGACUUGUCCAGGAUAUACCAAACCAUGAUGCUCCCCUGCCUGGCUGGGUAGGUGCCUGUGGAGACCCCUGCACUGCCCAAUCUACCCACCACCCCCUACUCAUUCCUACAUGGCAGAUGUGCCUGCCUUCCCAGUGCUCAGUGGUACUGUGGUGUUCCUGGCCUUGCUGAGAACAGCCUAAGGGGGAAUGGGCAAUGGCAGGCAAACACAGGCCCUGCUGGUGCCUUCACUGAGGAUUGGUCCCUGGGGUAUAAGAGACUGUAGAUCCCAGAUAAUCCCAGCUUCCUAGUGCUGUCU
rnacentral:lncRNA from 1 species